rnacentral:rRNA from 1 species
AUGUCAUACGGCACGGCAUCCAUGGUCUUCCUUCCAAGCUCCAACCCGCUGUGGAAGCAGGACCGCGUCAUCAUGGGCGCCCGCUUCUCCUCCACCAAGGGCUUGGACACAAUCCGGCCCAUCUUGGAAUGCCAUGCCGGGCGUCUCACCGAGUACUUGAGGGCAUGCUCUCGCAUUGGCAGGCCGAUCAUAAUCAGGGAGGCCGUGAACCGCACGGUGCUCAAUGUCAUAUCCAACAUCCUCUUCUCUGAGGAUGUGGCGGACUUGAGCGCGCCGGGGGCCCAACCUUUCAGGGGACUCAUAGUGCCGGUACUAGAGGAGUGGUCAAAAUCCAACGUCUCCGACGCCUUCCCAUUCCUCGCACCAAUUGACCACCUCCUCGGCUCGCGUUGCCGCAUCUCCAUACAUCUCGCCAAACUGUUCAACUUCUUUGACCAAGAAAUCGUUCAGCGCCGGUUAGCUAGAACUGGCACUGGCAGUGGCAGUGAGAAGAACAACGACGUGCUGGACGUUCUCCUCGAGCGCCACGCCAAGUCCAAGCUCACUCGGCAAGAAAUCAUCACGUUCCUAACGGAUAUGUUCAUCGCCGCAAGGCCCGCAAGUGACACGAGCACGGUGACAGUGCAGUGGGCUAUGGCGCAGCUACUGCGCCACCCAGACAAGAUGAAGAAGGUGCGUAACGAGCUCGCAGCAUGCCUUGGAGUUACGUCCAGUGACUUUGUCAAGGAGAGCGACCUCGACAACCUUCCCUACCUCCAUGCCGUGGUGAAGGAGACGCUGCGGCUGCACCCAGCGGUACCCUUGAUACCACGGGAGGUAGCUGCCGACGGAGUGUCACUCGGUGGCUUCCCCAUCCCAAUCGGAACGGGUGUCGUUGUCAACUUGUGGGCAAUCGGAAGGGACCCUACCGUAUGGCCUCAACCUAACAAAUUUGUGCCUGAAAGGUUCUUGGCUGGAGGUGCAGGCGAGGCCGUGCACUUUCAGGGCAAGGACGACUAUACUUAUAGGCCAUUCGGCGCCGGCCGGAGGGUGUGCCCUGGAAUGGACUACGCUCUGCGAUCAGUGACUCUGCUGCUAGCCUCGCUUGUCCACAGAACAGAAUGGAGACUACCUGAUGGCAUGGCGCCCGAGGAUAUUGACCUCGAGGACCGCUAUGGCACUGUGCUGAAUCUUGCUACGCCACUCCGUGCCGUGCCAGUGUCCGCCGUGUGA